rnacentral:lncRNA from 12 species
GUGUGGUCGCCCUGUUUUCCUCUUGGCUCUGAAGGACAUAGGUGCUUGAAGAGUGCGCUGUGAUGUCAGAGAUAAAGUGAAUUGCGCGGCCAACACCACCAGGUAAAUGUCACCUUGUGCCUGGCAGACUGCUCCUACCUGCUUCUUGUGAAUUGGUCGGAUCAUCGGCCUCAAUGUAGAGCAGCUCGAAGCCUCCUAGUACCGGGUGAGGCAAAGUCCAUUCUCAAGCCCGAUCACCCAGAUGGAACAGAGAAAUCUGUUACCGGCCUCUGAACAUCAACAGCGCAUAAUUAGCAGCUGCUAAAAUAAUGGAAGUCAAUUGAACAAAAAUGUGGCGCGUUCUGCCUUCAUUUAUUAAAUACCUUAUGUUUCCAAACACUGUGCUCCACAGCGGCUGAAGAGCCUUGGAGGGGCAUCGCAGCAAGUAUCCCUCCCUGGGCACCAGACACAGAGAACCGACUGACUUUUGUGAUGAACUUUCCAAACGAGCUGUUGCUACAGCCGACCAACCGGCAAGCCGGCCGAGGGACCCGACUACUUCCCCUGGGCCCGACGACAGAAUAGAUUUGUCGCAAGCAAACUGUAAGUGGGCUGCCAUCAUCAAAGAAAUCAGCAGCCCGUCUCCCUGGGAGACUGCAACCCCCCACAUUUAUCUAAAUUAUCUCGGUAAUAUGACAGAGUGAUUGCUCACUAAUGGUCAAUAACAGUUUUCUUUGUCAUUUUCCUAGUCAUUACCUCCUGAGAAUGAACUCCCGAGUACACUGCUUGCAGCCCGUGACUGGAAUGUUAAUUUCGUCCUGCGUCCCCGGCUGGCUCCCUUCAACGGUACUGGGCUCUCGCAUUUCUGACAUUUUUCGUUUUGUAAAAAUGAAUACCUGCCUUAGAAAGCCUGAUGAACGCAGAGAUACUUUACAUGCAAACACACACACACACACACACACACACACACACACACACAAAUGCUGUUCCCAUUUCCCCCUGUCUUUCAUCUGACAAAGCGGGUAGUGACUGCGAGCUCAGAAUUGGCUGGCGGAGGUGUCUGCUGGUGUGUGGGCUCCAUUUCUGGGGCUUUAUCAAGCCCUGUCUCCGAUUUUCCCAUUUCAGACAAUCUUCCUUUGAAGACGUGGAUGACAUAGUAAAACCGAUUGCACUUGAGAGCCGAUUCCAUGACUAUUUUGCUGCAACAGCUCCAGGAGGAUUAGGAGAUGGUCGGUCUUCCCAGGAAAAGUGCAUUUCUGAGGGAUGUGUCAGCCCAGGGCAGGCAGCAGCCGGGACAGCUGACUUACAGCCAUCAGUAUCUGAAACUGUGUCCUUUUAA